AGAGGGGAACAUUCCAUAAGAUAUUAGACCAUUUUGUAGGAUUAGGAGGUGCAGUUAGCCAGUUUAAGACUCCUAGAUGUGUUGGUCCAAAGAAUAGCUCAUUGCUCCAAAUACUGUCUAGUAAUGUUGUUGAGACCUAUGUUAGUAGUGCCUUCUGUUGAACUAUUUGUAGCUUUCCUGCUAUGUGCCAGUAAUGUUGCUGAGACCUAUGUUAGUACUGCCUUCGGUUGAACUAUUUGUUGCUUUCCUUCUAUGUGCAGCCCUCCUGGGCAUUAUUCUCUUAAUAAUACUUUAAAUUGUAUGAAAAUUGGAG
rnacentral:lncRNA from 1 species